CGGCAACAGCUCAAAUUUGAAAUCUAACUUCUUUGAAGUUCGAGUUGUAAUUUGUAGAGGAUGUUUCGGGCACCGCUUCAAUUUAAAUUUCUUGGAACAGAAUGUCAAAGAGGGUGAGAAUCCCGUCUUGAAUUGUAGUAGGGUCCAUGUGAAACUCCUUCGAC
rnacentral:rRNA from 1 species